rnacentral:rRNA from 1 species
AUGCCUAUCUUUGCGCUCACCGCCAUCCAGACGAGCGCUGGUUUCCUCAAGGACAUAGAUAAGAUCUGCAGAAAGUUCCUCUGGGCGCAAGAAGAAAACCUCUCUGGCAGCAAGAGCAAGGUCAGCUGGCGCCAAGUGUGCUCCCUGGUGGAGCUGGGUGGCCUCGGGAUCCAUGACCUCCAAAAAUUUGCCAGAGCACUACGCCUCCGAUGGUUGUGGCUGUCCUGGACCGAACCAAAUAGGCCUUGGGUCGGCUCGGCCAUACCAUGCGAUGAGCAAGACCGAGCCCUCUUUGCUGCCGCAACGUCGGUCAGGAUUGGUGACGGUGAAACUGCUUUGUUCUGGGAAUCUACAUGGAUGGGGCCGCUACCUUUGCGAGAAAUUGCUCCGGCGCUGUAUAAACGAACAAGAACAAAGGCCCGAUCUGUCAGGGAAGCGCUGCAUGGACACAGAUGGAUUCAAGACAUCAGAAGACCACCUUUCACUGACGAUUUCCUUGAGCAGUUCCGCCGCAUCUAG